rnacentral:rRNA from 1 species
UACGGAGGAUGCGAGUGUUAUCCGGAUUUAUUGGGUUUAAAGGGUGCGUAGGCGGAGUGCCAAGUCAGCGGUAAAAAUUCGGGGCUCAACCCCGUCGUGCCGUUGAAACUGGCGCCCUUGAGUGGGCGAGAAGUAUGCGGAAUGCGUGGUGUAGCGGUGAAAUGCAUAGAUAUCACGCAGAACCCCGAUUGCGAAGGCAGCAUACCGGCGCCCGACUGGCGCUGAAGCACGAAAGCGUGGGUAUCGAACAGG